rnacentral:rRNA from 1 species
UACGUAGGUGGCAAGCGUUGUCCGGAUUUAUUGGGCGUAAAGCGCUCGCAGGUGGUUCAUUGCGUCGUGCGUGAAAGACCCCGGCUCAACUGGGGAGGGUCGUGCGAAACGGGUGAACUAGAGGCCAGUAGGGGGAUGCGGAAUUCCGGGUGUAGUGGUGGAAUGCGUAGAGAUCCGGAGGAACACCAGCGGCGAAGGCGGCAUCCUGGACUGGUCCUGACACUCAGGAGCGAAAGCGUGGGGAGCGAUCCGG